AGUUGUGCUUACUAUUUGUCUUGAAAACAAAUAAAGGGCUUAAGCCCAACAACUA
rnacentral:tRNA from 1 species